rnacentral:rRNA from 1 species
UACGAAGGGGCGAGCGUUGUUCGGAAUUACUGGGCGUAAAGGGCGCGUAGGCGGUCAGCACAAGUCAGUUGUGAAAUCUCCGGGCUUAACCCGGAAAGGUCAACUGAUACUGUGCGACUAGAGUGCGGAAGGGGCAACUGGAAUUCUCGGUGUAGCGGUGAAAUGCGUAGAUAUCGAGAGGAACACCUGCGGCGAAGGCGGGUUGCUGGGCCGACACUGACGCUGAUGCGCGAAAGCCAGGGGAGGCGAACGGG